rnacentral:precursor_RNA from 1 species
GGGGACUGAGCAUGGAGCGGAGGCCUUCAUCUGUCGCCUCACGUCCAUGGUCAGCACCGU